GGGGGGGGAGGUUUAAAUUAUAAUCAAAACCAGUCAGAUGAUUCCAAUAUUGAGGUAUUAUAUAUAUAAAGAUAUAGAUAUUCCUGAGAAAUCUAAGUUAUCUCUUUGCAGAGGAUACCACAGUCCACUUCUAACACCAAUACUUAGAUAUAUCAAGCAAGCAUUCAAUCGUCCAUGUUUAUGAAAUGUGAAUCUUAUGUGUCACAUAUUUCUGAUAUUUUCAAUAUGAUAAUUAAAAUGUUCUACCACCUUUGGGUAGUUUUAAAAAUACUGCCCUGAAUUUCUCCAAAACAUAAGUAAAUUUAACUCUCUGGAUAUAAAUCACUCUCCUCUCAAUUUCCUGUAUAAAACAGUAACUACCAGCUUGGAACCACAUGGAUUUAACAAGGACAAGAAACUUGGCAGACCACCAUUCACCCAAUCUUUGUCGUCGCUCCCCACCGCUACCCGUUGAGAACCAGUGAAUUAGACCUACUAGUGGCUAAGAUGCUCUGUGAUUACAAUAAUCAUUCUGUAAUCAGGGUAGCAGCACAUUUACUCUAAACAGUCGCUAAUUACGAAACAGUUUAUGAUGACUAAAAAAACAGAAUGCAGCAUGGCUGUCUGCAUUUCUGGAACACGUGUUAAUUGACAAAGAGAGAUGGUUUAAAAAAACUGGACCACAAAUAAUUUUGACUACCUAGGUGCUUCUCGUCUUCAGGAUUAACUUCCUAAAUAAUUUCCUGAAUCGUCCUCAAUUUGCAUCUAAAAUAAUCUACUCUGAACCACAAUCCCAAAUAACUAGUCAAGAGCUAUCAAACACCAGUUAGGGUCAAAUACUGAUCACUGAAGGCGACUGAGAGUAAUCCUAACAACAGUGGACAUUUAGGGAAACGGGCACAAGGUCACGCCUGUUCAAGUGACGAAGGCAGACCGCGAUCCAGCAGCGUGGCUCUGAAGUGCCA
rnacentral:lncRNA from 1 species